AUUGUAGUGAGGUGUAAUAUUAAAAGAGGGUUAUUUCUUUUGAGUGUUGUAGUGGUCUUUGGAGUAUUUUUCUCGGACCUACAAAGUGUAAAUUCCUUACUACAGUGAUAUCAGUUGCUCCUCUCAGGGCCGUGGUUUUUUCCCUUAUUCAGAAGGGUUUUCCACGUAAAAAUCCAGGUGUCGUUGUUACUCUUUUGUAUCAGUUGCUCCUCUCAGGACCGUGGUUUUUCCCUUAUUCUGAAGGGUUUUCCACGUAAAAAUCUUGGUGUCAUUGUUAAUCUUUUUAUUCUUGUUAAUUACCGUAUCUCGGUGCUACAUUAUUAUUCCGCUUUUAUCGCCGUGAAUAUUAUUUUGGUAGGGGAUUUAUUCCCAACAACUGGUAUCAGAGCACAGGUUCUGCNNNNNNNNNNNNNNNNNNNNNNNNNNNNNNNNNNNNNNNNNNNNNNNNNNNNNNNNNNNNNNNNNNNNNNNNNNNNNNNNNNNNNNNNNNNNNNNNNNNNNNNNNNNNNNNNNNNNNNNNNNNNNNNNNNNNNNNNNNNNNNNNNNNNNNNNNNNNNNNNNNNNNNNNNNNNNNNNNNNNNNNNNNNNNNNNNNNNNNNNNNNNNNNNNNNNNNNNNNNNNAGCUGCUAGUGCAAUCAGGUUGCACUUAUCGGAUGAUGUGGUAAAUAACAUCAUUGAUGAAGACACUGCACAUGGAAUUUGGACAAGGUUGAAAAGCCUAUACAUGUCCAAAACACUAACAAAUAAAUUGUACAUGAAGAAACAGUUAUACGCCAUACACAUUGGUGAAGGUAUGAAUUUUUUGUCGCAUUUAAAUGUGUUUAACGAACUAAUCACACAGCUUGCCAACCUCGAAGUAAAAAUCGAGGAAGAAGAUAAAGCCAUCUUGCUAUUGAACUCGUCGCCAUCUUCGUACGAUAAUUUGGCAACAACCAUCAUGCACGGUAAGACUACUACUGAGUUGAAAGAUGUCACAUCGGCUUUUUUACUCAAUGAGAAGAUGAGAAAGAAGCUUGAAAAUCAAGGACAAGCUCUUAUCAUAGAAGGUAGAGGCAGGAGUUAUCAAAGGAGUUCGAGCAACUAUGGUAGAUCCGGAGCUCGUGGAAAGUCAAAGAAUCGAUCCAAAUCAAAAGCCAGAAAUUUUGCAACAACCAUCCCGAAAUUAAAUUUGCCAGCAAAUAAAUUUAGCAUAUGCCAAUAUCUAUCACAUGGUGGACCCCUCAAGAAGCCAAAAGGUUGGCCAUCUUACAACUCGAAUUUAACUCAACAUAUUAUAUGACUUAAAAUGGGUUAGAGAUAAAGGGCGUUGUGUCAAAGGAAGCCAUUGAUAUGUUUGCCGUGAACACAGUCGAAGAAAGAGAGAGAAGGUUGGGAGAGAAAGUAACUGUUCUAUUGAACUUGAACAAAGUCUGAAGAAAUGUAAUGUACAAACACUAUAUAUUAACUACUAAAACUAACUAAUUAGUCAUUUACUUAAAUAACCUUACUAACUACUCAACCUACAUCUAUAUUCGUACUCCCCCUCAAGCUGUGCAGUGUGAAUAGAUUGAACACUCCCAGCUUGGAUAAUAAGAACUCGUGUUGUGCCUUCCCUAAUCCUUUUGUCAACACAUCUGCAAUUUGCAAGUUUGUAGAAACAUGUGCAAUUUGUAUUAGGCCUUGUUGAAUCUUUUCUCGAAUGAAAUGGCAGUCUAUAUCGAUAUGCUUUGUUCUUUCAUGGUAAAUGGGAUUUGCAGAUAUUUGUAUGGCUGCUUUACUGUCAUAAUAGAGCUUUAUAGGAAGCUGUAGCUCAACACUCAGCUCCUUGAGCAGCCCUGUCAACAACACUAUUUCUACUAUGGCAUUAGCCAUACUUCUAUACUCAGCUUCUGUAGAACUUCUUGAUAUAAUAUUCUGCUUCUUGGAUUUCUAGGAGAUAAGAGAAUUUCCCAGUUUAACCACAAAUCUACAAAUCCACUCACCGAUCCUCUAGUCAUUGGAAAGUAGCCCCUACAUCACAUUACACUGUGAGCUGAUUAGAUACUUGAAAAGAAAGCACGAUUCCCAACCCUGGUACAUUCUUGAGAUAUCUUACCACUCUUAAGGCCCCUUCCCAAUGAGACUUCUUUGGCAUGUGCAUAAACUGUAGAGUUUGGACUGCAUAACUGAUAUCAGGCCUUGUCAUGGUGAGGUAUAACAGCUUUCCAACCAACUGUUGAUAUCUGCUUGGAUCAAUAAGUAACUCAUCUGCAACUACAUUGGCAUUUGCUUGAGCAUUAUUGUGAUCAUAUUCAGCACUAGUAUUUACGGCUAGUGUCUAGUGGUGUGCGGGCUGGUUUAGAACCUGCCAAACCAAGUGUAGCAAUAAGAUCAAGAGUGAACCUUACUUUGACAGACCAAAAUGCCUUGUUUGCUCCUAGAAACUUCAAGACCAAGGAAAUAUCUCAUUUCCCCUAGAUUCUUGAUCUUGAAGUGACUUUGUAAGAGAGAUUUGGCCUCCUAAAUCAAUUGACAAGAAGAACCAGUGAUCAAGAGGUCAUCCACAUAGAUGAGAAUUAGAACUAAGCCAGAAUUGGACUUUUUACUGAAAAGAGAAUAGUCAUGAUGGAUUUGGAGAAAUCCUGAUGAAGAGAGGGCUUCACUAAGCAUCAGGUUCCACUGCCUAGAAGCCUGUUUUAAGCCCAUAUAAGGACUUCUGAAGUUUGCACACUCUAGGAGGCUCCCUAUCACUUAAAAGACCAGGAGGAGGAGUCAUGUAGACUUCUUCUAACAGAUCACCUUAAAGAAAGGCAUUGAAGACAUCCAUUUGAUGUAGCUUCCAUAUAUGCAUGGCUGCCAAGGACAAAACAAUCCUUACUGUAACCAUUUUCACCACAGGUGAGAAGGUCUUUUGUAAUCAAGCCCUUCUUGUUGAGUGUAACCCUUUGCCACUAAGCGAGCUUUAUAUCUUUCCACCUCUCCUUGGGCAUUGUAUUUCACCUUAUACACUCAUUUACAUCUUAUGUCUCUCUUGGUAGGAGGUAGAGAAACCAAUUCCCAUGUGUGAUUAUCUUGGAGAGCCUUUAGCUCAGCAUCCAUGGAAGUAAUCCAUUUGGGAUCUUGAAGAGCGUCAGUAUAGGUGGCAGGUUCCAUAAUAGCAUUAAAAGAACAGAUGGAGUUGAAGUAAGAAGAAGAUAAGGAAGCAUAUGACAUGUAUGCUGAUAUUGGAUAACUGGAACUUGAUACUGUAGAAGGCCCUGCCUCUGGCAUCCCAUGAACAAAAUCAUUAAGCCAUCUAGGUGGCUUAGAAGUCCUAGCAGACUUUCUGAGUCCCUCAGCUGGUGCAGCAUUCAGUGAAUCCAUAUUUGGAGGUGGCACUACUGGUGCAGAAGUUGGUGUGGGAAUAGGAGGCUGAACUAGGUUUGCUGAAGUUUGCAACAUAUGUUCAGGAAUUGGUGAUGCCUUAGAAUGAAUUGAUGGAGCCUCUGAAUCAACAACAUCAACAAAAAAGGCAUCAUCUACAUCAAGAAGUUGCUCACCAGUGCUUCUCUUUUGUGCUGAGAAUGUAGUAUGAAAAGGAAAUAUGUGUUCCUUGAAAGAGACAUCCCUGCUAACAAAGAAAUGUUUGCUAGUAAGGCUAUAUAAUCGAUAACAUUUUUGAAUGGACAAAUACCCCAUAUGGACUGCAUGUUCUGCUCUAGCUCCAAAUUAUCACCUCUAUCUGUCGCUGUGGCAUAACAAAGACUCCCCGAAACUCUCAGAUGCUGUAGUUUGGGUGGCCUACCAUAGAACAUCUCAAAAGGUGAUUUACCAGCCAAUGUUGUGGAUGGUAUCAUGUUGUUCAACUACACUGCAUUUUGUACACAAAAACCCCAUAAAUUCAGAGGAAUAUUUCCUUGAAACCUGAUGGCCCUUACAACUUCAAGAAUCUACCUGUAUUUUUGUUCAACCACUUCAUUUUGUUGGGGUGUGUAAACACAGGAGCUUUGAUGCACUAUAACUGCAUGUCAAACAGUUCAGCACAAUGGGAAUUAAAGAACUUAGUUCCAUUGGCUGUUCUAAACACUUUGAUAAUACUAUUAAAUUGUGUCUUCACAAGAGUCAUGAAUCCCUUUAUUAUUAUAGAUUCAUCACUUUUAAGUUUGAGCAAGAAAAUACAUACCAUUCUACUAUACCAAAGAAAGAAUCUAUUCCCAUCAUAUGCUGGAGUUCUAUAAAGACCCCACAAAUUACCAUGCACCAAAUCAAAGGCCUUAGAAGCUCUACUAGUACUUUGUGGAAAAGAAACUCUUGUUUGUUUUGCCAGAGGGCAAAUGACACAAACACUAUUAUGAGUGUGUAAUUUAUUACAUUUUGUGAUAUGCAUCUGCUAUAGGAUCUUAUGUGGGACAUGUCCUAAUCUUCUAUACCAUAGUUCUUCUUCAUUGUUCAUACAUAGCACUGCUGCUUGAGCUCUGUCUCCAUCACUGCAAGGCCGGUAGUAGAGAUCUCCAUUCCUUCUACCAGUCCCCUUCACCUUUCCGGUGUGAAGGUCCUGCAUGAGGCAAAAAUCAGGAUAGAAUUGCAUGCAACAAUUUAGUUCCCUUGUCAAUUUUGACACUGAUAGUAGAUUAUAUAUAAACCCUGGUAUGCAAAGUACGUUGGAUAUUAUCCCUUGAUCUAGUUCUGAGCUUCCUACACAGGAUAUAGCCAAGCUAUUACCAUUUGGUAAAAGAACAUUUCCUCCUAUGCUUCUAGAAUUUUGUUUAGGCCUGGAGGUCAUAUCACUACUAGACACCAUGAGGUCUGUUGCACCUGUAUCUACAAUCCAUUUAACUUCCUUGGCUUUACUAUUAUUUGAAUGAUCUACACUGACAACAUUUGCAAGUAUUGGAGAAUCAAUUAUACCUACUGCAUUAGCUGCAUUCACUAUUGAUUCUUGUGAGCUGUCCUUUUGUAGCAUUUUCAAAUUUUGAUCAUAUUGUUCAACAGUAAAUGACAUUGGCAUCUGCAUAUUCAUUCUUGUAUCUCUUUCUGUACCUGCAAAGUAUCGUGAUGGCCCAAAAGAACCUGCAUUAAAGCAAUCAACAGUAGUUUGGGCACUUUCUGACAUAUUUCCCAUUCCCUGUUGUUGACUGUGGUUUCCUAAUUGCAUAGGAUUACCAAGGUGUGCAGAAUUAGCCACAGGCUUUCUUGUCCCCUUAAAAUCUGGCAGAUAUCCAACUAACUGAUAGCAAUUUUCCUUGUUAUGUCCUUUCAUCUUACAAAAUCACAAAUUACAUUGAAGUUCCUUUUAGGUUUCUGCAUCUAAGAACUUCUAGAACUCCAAAGUGCAGUAAUAUGAUUACCAUUCAUUAGUGAGCUGUGACCUAUAGAGCCUUGCUCUGUGGUUACCUUUUGAGUCUCAUCCUCAAUAACCAUGGCAUAUGCCUGAUUUAGACUAGGUUCUGUAGAUUUCAUAAGAAUUUGACGUCUUGCCUGACUAUAUGAGUCAUUCAAAGCUCCCAAAAUAAAAGCAACCUUUGUUGAUUUAAGAGAUCGACAUAGUCAUUCACAGAAUUUGGAGGUGGCACGAUUGCAUCAAAUCCCCCCCAUAACUCCUUUAAUUUUGUAAAAUAUGUGGAUACAAAAUCAGUACCUUGGGAUAUAGUUGCAAUUUCUCUAUGAAGCCGAUAGAUCCUCAUGCAAUUCACCUUGUCGAAUCUCUCACGAAGAUCCUCCCACACAGCUCGAGCAUUUGAUGCAUAUACAAUCCCACUGAGCAUGUCCGGUGACACAGUAUUCAUGAUCCACGAAAGAACUAUGGCAUUGCAAGUCCCCCGGUCCUCAUGCAAAGCUUCAGGAAAUUCAGCUUUUGUAUACUUGCUAUCAACAAACCCUAAUUUUCAUUUAGCUUGAAGUGCAAUCUUCAUCGAUCUCCGCCAUAUGCCGUAAUUCUCAGAUCCUUUGAGCUGGAUUGGAACCAACACUGAUCCUGGAGUAUCAAAUGGGUGCACGAACAGAUGAUGGGUAUGAUCGUUCUUGUUUUCCACCAUUUUUGGAUCAAAGAAGCUUUGAGACUUUGUUUAGUUUCUUUUGACUGAACCUCAACCUUCUCUACUUCCUAACGAACAUGCAAGCUCAGAUCUUCUUCGCCAGCUCUGAUACCAUGACAAAGCAGCCAUUAAUAUGCUUGCCGUGAACACAGUCGAAGAAAGAGGGAGAAGGUUGGGAGAGAAAGUAACUGUUCUAUUCAACUUGAACAAAGUCUGAAUAAAUGUACUGUACAAAUACUGUAUAUUAACUACUAAAACUAACUAAUUAGUCAUUUACUUAAAUGCCCUUACUAACUACUCAACCUACAUCUAUAUUCGUAAUAUGUUGCUUUUCACUCGACGUGGCUAUCAUUAUUCUUACCAACUACAAUAACAAUAUUAUACCCGGUAUAAUCCCACCAUAUAAGAUCUGGGGUAAGAUGCAUGCAGACCUUAUCCCACCUUUGUGAUUGUUAAUAUUUUUACCACUUGAUGGAAAUAAUGAUAUUUUUCAGAUUUAAUAUUAUACCAUAUUACCAUAGGAAAAGUCUUCGUACAUUAGGAAAAUGUGAGAAUAAAAUUUUGACAUUUUAGUGGAAUAAUCGUUGGCUACAUGCAUUCCCAAAGACACGUAAAUUGAUAUUAUAUUAACUAUUAUUCUAUAUUAUUUGUAGAAAUUUUCUUUUAAUAUGGAAAAAGCUAGAAUAUUUUGAACUAAUCCAAGUUUAUUUUUUGAAAUAAAAUUGGAUAGAGAAAUAAUAAACAUGCGAAAUUUUCACGUUCCCAAUUCUAAAGAUACACAUCCAUUUGAGAAUAUUGAGUCAUAAAUUUUCAUUAAAAUUUAAAGAAAUGAGAGAUUCUUCUACGAAUUCAUGUCUAGUAAAAUAUCACGUCAUAACCAUAAUAUGUUUUUAUAUAAUAAAAAAAGGGAUAAUUUUGCUGCCAUGACUGCGUGUUUAUUAUGAUUUGCACGAUAUAUUAGAUCGGCGGCUUCUCGAGCUUCACUUCCACCUGGCAAUUUCAAAAUUUGAAUAAACCCCCCAGUAUAAAAGCCCCAAAUUCAACUUACCAGCAGCCAUUUGCAUUUCAGAGAGAAACUUCGAGAAGAGAUGCAGAAGAGAUUGAGAUCGACGAGGAAGUCAUCGGCGGGAAGUCCUGUCCAGUCGAUGAGUGAGUCUCCGAAGCCAUUCGAGUUCAACUUCAAUAUGUUCAACGCUAGGCCAACAUCGUCAUCGUCGAAGAAGCAGAAGAAGAGGACAACUGGAAAGAAGAGUUUCAAUAAUUCAAGUCCGGAGCAGGUGAAGCCUGCCGGUUGUUCCCCUGUGUCGGUCACAAAUCUGAAGACGAUUGCGGAUCUGAAGGAAUUCGCAUCGUCUCAAUUGGACUCUGUUAAGCGCCAGGUUGAGCGAUCGCAUAUGGAGAUUCUUAAGGACCUCGAGGCUUCUCAGUCUCGCCUUCAGAAACGUCUCAAGGUCUCUCUCUCUGUGUGUGUGUGUGUGUAUGUAUUCAAUUUACACACUUAACCAUAGAUCAUGAUUCAUGAAGAUGACUUUAUAUUCGUGAUUUUCUGCGUUUCAUCUUUCUACUUUAGAGCAUAAGCUCUUGCCGUUUGCUAGUGCUUAGGUCAGUAGUGGAGUUAGCACUUAUGCAUUCGUAAUAUGUAUGUGUGUGUGUAUUUAUGUGUGAUAUGUGGUGGUUUCCGGCUAAAUUUCUCAAUUCGGUGAUCUGUCAGCUGCUUCCGCUUUAUUGAUCUAGUUUAAGAACUUGCAUGAGUUGUACCGGAAACAAAUUGUUGUUCUCUCUGUUUUGAUGUUGCUUUUGCGUUUUGAGAUGCAGCUUCUAAGAAGUUAGGUGUAAGAAACUUAGUGUAAUGAUCUCAAUAAAUUGAAUAGUGAAUGUUCUAGAACAUUCUCGAUUAUCAAAGUUUGAGGUCUAGCAUCAGGGUUGUAGGAUAGGGGCUCCUACAGUUUUUCGUACUCCUCACGUAAAUUGAAUAGUGAAUGUUCUAGAUCAUUCCCGACUAUCAAAGUUUAAUCAUCUUGUUACUGUAUUCUGAUUUAGUCAGAAUCUUAGAUUCGUUAUAAGUAUUCCUCUCAGAACUGUUUUAGUGCCAGGUAGAUACGCUUUAAGCAUAGUAAAGCUGUCCUUUUUGCUAAAUAUGAAUAGGCUUAUGGAAACUUCCUCAAUGAUGGACUAAAAUGUACUUUGCAUAGGAUAUCUGGAUUUUUUGGCUCUCACAAACAUUCAAGCUUAACGCCAAGCUCUGGAAAAUUGUCUGUUGACAUAGCGAUAUAUAGCACUGAAGUGUAAUUUAGGCUCUUCUGCGAGAGAUUCCAAUGUUAAAGUACCAAAUCAUUUGUCCAUUUUGUACUACAAUUAGUGCAGUUUUGUGCUUUGUUUUUAACAAUGAACCUGAAUAUUUUGCUGCACUUUAUUGGAAGAGGAUAUUUAACAGACUUGCAGGAGAUAUGAGUUUCCUUAGUGAUGAUCUUGUCCGCGAUUUGUUUGAUGGAAAAUAACCAGAUAUAUCACAUUGGGAACACUAUAAUAGAAUAUGUAGCUUGUUAAAUGCAAAGUAAUGGGCUUCAAUCAUGUCAUUUGAGUAAGAAAGAGCAUCUAGAUUUAACACCUUAGUUUUGUUACUGAAAUUAGAAAAAAAAAGCAUUUAUAAGCUCUAUGAGAUUAGGUCAGUUUUGAGUUAUUGACCGAAAAUCAAGUAAACAAGGACUAGAAGUUUGUCUGCUGUAAGCAGAUCUCAUUCUUUACAAGCUUCCAUCAAGCUGUGGAUAAAUAAGAUUAAGGAAAACCGUCGUAGUUACAUGAUUUUUCAUUGUUUCAUAAUUCCAUUGAACAUGGGUUUUAAUUUUAGUGUAAGUAGUUUUCUUUCGUUGGCUCUCUACAUUGUUAUGUUGUAACUUCAACUUCUUAAGCAAAUUAAAAGGGCUAGAAGAACCAUCCAUGACACAGUUAUUCAGAUAAUAUUAGCAUAUUCCACAAACCAGAGCUUUUUCAUAUCUGUUGUAAAUUUGUUAUUUCGUUACAUUUUCCUUCUAAUAUUUUGAAAAUUAAACAGAUUCAGACACAAGGAUGCUAUCAAGUGGCAGAUGAAGCAGAAAAGGAGUACAAAAAGAUGUCUGACCGACUCAGCGAAGGCAGGGAGGCAAUGAAGGUAAAUCUUCCAUUAUCUGCUAUUGCCUUUAACAAGUCUGCUCCUAUUUAAUCUCAAUUGUUGUGCCAUUACCAUUAGUUAAUUUAAUUUUUCCUCUCUAGGCUUCAUAUUCUACAUUCAUGGCAGAUCUUCAAGCUAGUGGAUCUCGUCGUAAGUUCUUAGCCUUUUGUCAACUAUGAGGAUAUGCUUUUUAGUAACUGCAACUAUAUGCUGCAAGUUUUUGACAAUUGAACACUUUAAUAACCUUGAAUACGAUAAGCAGAUGAAGUAAUUGACUGUAUUUUCUUAUUCUUUCUUUAUUGGCUUGGCCAAAAGUGUGGCAAAUUCUUCUGAAUUGCCUUUCGGAUUCGGAUGAACUUCUUAAAAACUUGUUCACAUACUUUACAGUUUGCAAACAAACCAUCCCCGAGCUGUCACAAUCCGUUGAGAAAGCCACAGAUGCUCUCAGGAACCGUUAUGGGAUCCAUUCAACUUAAGCUUGUUGAAGGCAUUGGCAUUAAGGUAAUUUCUUUUGCUGCUUGAUUGUUUUUGUACUUGAAUCUGUCUUAUGUUUCUCAAAAUCUGAACUAAGAAUUAUAUGGGCGAUAAGUGUUUUAGUUAUCUUUCCCCUAUAACUAUGUAUUUGCUGCUUGAUUGUUUUUGUACUUAUAUCUAUCUUAUGUUUCUCAAAAUCUGAACUAAGAAUUAUAUAGGGCGAUAAGUGUUUUAGUUUAUCUUUCCUAUAACUAUGUUAUUGUUUUACCUGGUAUAUGGAACUUGAGUUAGGAAUUUUUUCCUUUCAAUGGUGGUACAAAAUCAUCAGAACAACACGGUAGCUGGUAUAAAAGCAUAGAUUGUCAUGGCAUAUUCGUUUUAAAUAUCGUGAAAUAUACCUGGGGGAAGUGCCAAUGAAAUCCUUUCUCCUUAUCUGUAUGGCCAUAUUGAAGACUUGACAAGAUCUAGAUUGCUUAGUACCGUGUUAUAACUUCCGUUUGGUUCAUGUUUCUUGCAAUUAUUUCAUUUAUUUCAUUGAAGGACUCUGUUAGAACUUAAGCAAGAAGUGGAAAAUAGAAUUAGCUCUUGUAAAAAUGAAAUAUGUAACAUAUCAGAUAUAGCGAUUUGAAAUCAGUACUUCCAAAAUCAUUUUGGGUGCUUGGCUCCUUGCAGAAUGACCCGUUUCUACCUUUCAAGCCUUCAUGCAUCUGAUACAAUUCAUUCAUUUCACUCUAAUCAAUUCUGUACAGAAAUUUGAGCAGUAAGCCAGCAUAUAUCCCUGAGGUUGAAACACUAAUUGAUAAUAAAUCAUCUUCAGAUGGCAGCUGGGCUGAUGAGAAGCCCAUCUGCAAUUUUUUAUUGCAUUGAUUCAAGCAUUUUGAUCUUGUUUUGUCAUUGUUUACUGUAGUGUGUUUUUUUGGUUGAUCAAAUGAUUUUCUGUCCGUCUUAUAUAAAGCAUUGUCAUUUGUCUUUGAUUGACAUUUUUCUGAAACUCAUAAUCCAUUUUAAUUUGAGUUAUAUAAUUUCUUGAUAGGUGGAAUCUAGUUACUCUGAAUUACAUUAACGAAGACAAUGUUGGAGCAGAUGGAGAUAGUUCAAGUGAUUAUCUUUUGAGGCCUGCUUACAACAUAAAAUCAUCCAUGAAAAUUCGAACUCCUUUUUGCUUACUGUUGCAGUUUCUUGAGGAAUAUAGAUAACAUGCAAAUUUGAGUACUUAGUCAGUUAGUCUUGUUAAAUUAACCGCUUUCCAUGUGCAUUGCAUGUGCCAUUUCCUUGGCAGCUGAAUUUCGCUCCAAGGCUGCCUUGUGCCAUGCCUUAGCUCAAUUUGACAUUGGCCCAUGCCAAUGUUAUGCCCGCAUUCCGUUGCCAUGAUUUUGCCGCACACGCCCAGUGCCGCUGCCGCCGGCACACCGCCUUGGCUUAGUUUUCUGCCUUGUCAGUACCAAUCCUCAUUUCCCUCGUGCCAUUGCUUGUUCUUUCUUUCCCAUAGCCUUGUCUUAGCUAUUGAAAGCCUUUGCUAUGAACCCGCAUUUCCGCCUCGCCUUAGCUUAGCCCGCACAUAGCUGUCACAACCCAAAAAUGGUCUACUUGAGGAUUAUGUAUAAGAGUAUAAUGUAGUGUAUUUGUAGAGAAAUCCGGCUUAGUAUUUCUAUCAGUACUUAAGCUUUUGAAAGCUCCGAUAAAGAGAUUGAUAGCUUGCAGUAUAUGGGAAUUUCUAUGUGCAUGAUUUUUUUCAUAACGAGCUAGCUAAAUGUGAUCGACGUUAAUUAUUAUUGUUGGGAUAUAUACUAUUAACGAUGAAUUUGUAUAAAUAUAGUGUUUAUUAUGAUAUAAUUGUUCAUUCAAUUUCAAUAAAAAGUUUUAUUAGCACACAGAUGACUAAUUAUUUUUAAAAGUUAAAAUAUUUAUUACAUAGCAUUAAAAAUCCAAAAGUGAAAAAUAACAAGGGUAAACUAAUCAAAAAGUACUUCUUCUUAAUACUCCCUUCAAUCCACAUUAAUUAAUUUUUUGACCUUGUUUAUGGUCCACAAUAAUAUUAAUUUUUUUUAGAUAUCAAGAAUUAACUUUUUUUUUUCAAAACUUGCUCUUGCAGUAAAGAACCUAGGAGUUUAUUAUAUUUCUAAUAAAUAAAUUAAGAUUAAUAUGAUCAAUUUGAUUAUGUAAAAAGUUGAACUCCUUAACAUGUGUGAAAAUAACUAAAAAGAUCAACAAAAGUGAAUCGGAGAGAGUAGUCUCUUAAGGAACAUAUAAAGUAGAAACAACAACAACAACAACUACCCAGUACAUUCCCACCAUGUGGGGUCUGGGGAGGGUAAUAUGUAGACGAGCCUUACCCCUGGCCGAAAGGGCAGAGAGGCUGUUUCAUGACAACUAAAAUAGACAGAAGGGAAUAUAAAAAGAAAUGAUUUCUGAUAAAACAAAAAAUUCACCAUGUUCGCUUCAAUGGAAAAUGUAAAACAAACUUGAAUACGCCGUCAUCUCAUACUUGAUCAAGGAUCAACUAAAUACAAAGUCCUACUAAACAUAGUGCACCUCUAGUAACCCUAGCAAAGAACAAUAUGGAAAUCACUACAAAUAACGUCAUUCAUCUUUAAAAAAUUCUUGAAUGAGAUCAAAGAUACUGCUUUGAUUGUGGCGUAUAUUUUUGCUUUUGACGGAAACUAGACUCUCCUUAUAACUUAAUGCCCAUCUGCGAGCCUACUCUAUUUUAGAAUCAAGUAGACGUGUAAUUUCAUGGGUUUUGGACUCAUAGAUCACAAAAGCUUCGUCUUUUGAAUAUAAAAUAAUCUUUUCAUGACCCCACAAACCAAUAGGGCAAGAGUUAGGUAUUGUAGGAACCACAUUCAGGACUCUAGUCCACAACUUUUCGUUGCUAAUUAGCCAUACAUCAAUUUGAUAUGCAAAAAUGAAGUCAUUGAAAUCAUUGCGCACUAGCAGGGCAAUGGACUCAUAGAGAGUAAUUAAACCAUCAAUGAGACCUGAUAUGUUAGGCCCUGGAAUCUCACCAAACACUUCAUUUUGCAUGUUAAAAUAUCGAAUUAGAAGGACUGGUUGCAAAGCAGUUGCACCACUGCUUAAUGUACUCCGGUAAUAAACUCCAUUAACACAGGUGGAGCACAAGGAGUUUUCCAUGCAUGAAGGAACUCUAUUGUCAAAGCUGCAUGCUAAAUUUCUCCAACAGUCUUUGCCUGAAGAGUAAACGGCAGCAAAAACACGAUCUAUGUUCCAGUACUCUUCUUGAUUCCAAUAAUUCAUAACGUAGACCACUUUGUAAUCUGACUUAACGGAUCAAACCCAAAGCCAAAUAUAUGUCUAAAGUGACCACGAGGCAUGCUGAUUUUGAUGUUAUAUGUAUUGGGAAUAGACCCCUACCAAAAUAAUAUUUACGGUAAUAAAAGCGGAAUAAUAAUGUAGCACCGAGAUACGGNNNNNNNNNNNNNNNNNNNNNNNNNNNNNNNNNNNNNNNNNNNNNNNNNNNNNNNNNNNNNNNNNNNNNNNNNNNNNNNNNNNNNNNNNNNNNNNNNNNNNNNNNNNNNNNNNNNNNNNNNNNNNNNNNNNNNNNNNNNNNNNNNNNNNNNNNNNNNNNNNNNNNNNNNNNNNNNNNNNNNNNNUACACUUUGUAGGUCCGAGUAAAAUACUCCAAAGACCACUACAACACUCAAAAGAAAAUAACCCUCUUUUGAUAUUUUCACCUCACUACAAUAUCGCUCAAUCUCUAUUUUCCUCACAGGCUAUUUUCUUAUACACUGUCUGCGAAACCUUACUCUCAGAUAUAUUUUUCUUUGAUUUUUGUUGGUUGUAAAAAAUGAGAGCCGAAGCUCUCAUUUUAUAGGCAGAAUACAUCCUACCUUUCUUGACAUUUUAUUUCUGCAGCAUGCUUAAUUUGACAGAAACAAAAAACAACGUGUUUUGACAAAAAAAUGAGGAAUGUUGAUUUUCUUCCUUAAUUUAAGGGGGCUGGACCCAUCAAUCUCCCCCUCUAGUUCCAUUUAUCUAGAGGAGGUAGCAGUGUCUUUUAGUUUGAAUGCAUGCCGACAAGUUCUUUGCAUAGUUCGAACUUGUUCCUUGGUACCACCUUGGUCUGCAUAUUUGCGGGAUUCUCACUUAUAGAAAUCUUCAAAACUUUUAGAGAUUCAUCAUCUACCAUUUCUCGAAUCCAAUGAUAUCUCACGUCAAUGUGUUUGGUCCUUGCAUGGUACAUAGAGUUCUUGCUAUGGUCUAUUGUACUUUGACUGUCACAAUAGAUGACACACUCUUCUGAUGCAAUCCAAGCCCUUGAAGGAACAGUUUGGGCCAUAUCAUCUCCUUUCCAAUUUCUGUAGUGGUAAUGUACUCUGCUCCAGUUUCUGUAGUGGUAAUGUACUCUGCUUCAGUUGUUGAAAGUGCAAUACACUUUUGCAACUUAGACUACCAUGAUAUAGCUCCCCCUGAAAAUGUAAAAUGUAAACAACUAUCCAGUAGUGGAUUACAACACCAACUGCGUGAGCAAUAUCAGGUCUACUACAUACCAUUGCAUACAUCAAACUUCCGACUGCUGAAGAAUAAGGAACUCUAGCCAUGUUCCCUUUCUCCUCCUCUUUUGUAGGACACAUCUUUUUGCUCAAUUUUAGAUGACUAGGAAGAGGUGCGCUGACUGGCUUAGCAUUCUUCAUGUUGAAGCGUUCUAGUACAUGUUCAAUGUACUUCUCAUGAGAUAACCACAACUUUCUACUUGUUCUCUCUCAAACUAUCUUCAUCCAUAGAAUUUUUUGUGCUGGGCCCAAGUCCUUCAUAUCAAAUGACUUGGACAGAUCUCCCUUCAANNNNNNNNNNNNNNNNNNNNNNNNNNNNNNNNNNNNNNNNNNNNNNNNNNNNNNNNNNNNNNNNNNAGAUCUCCCUUCAACUUUGCUAUCAACCCCUUGUCUUUUCCUACAAUUAACAUGUCAUCCACAUACAACAACAAUAUAAUAAAAUUAUUUUCAGAAAAUGUUAUGAAGUAUACACAUGGAUCAGAAUAGGUCUUUAUGUAUGUUUGACUUUUCAUUAAAGAGUCAAACUUCAUGUACCACUUCCUUGGUGCCUGCUUUAUUCCAUAAAGACUCUUAUUCAAUUUGCACGCCAUGUAUUUCUUUCCAGAUACUUCAAAUCCUUCUGGAUGCUCCAUAUAAAUCUCUUAUUUCAAAUCUCUAUGAAGAAAUGCAGUUUUCACAUCCAACUACUCCACUUCAAGAUCUAGGCUAGCUGCUAAGCUCAAAAUUGUUCGAAUAGAAGUCAUUUUGACUACAAGUGAGAAAAUUUCAUCAAAAUCAAUACCUUUCUUCUGUUCGAAGCCUAUAACCACCAAUCGAGCUUUGUAUCUGACCAACUUUCCAUUUCCAUCUUUCUUGAGUUUAUAGACCCAUUUGCAUUUGAGUGAUCUUUUACCCUUUGGAAGUUCAACCAGCUUGUAUGUGCCAUUUUUCUGUAGAGAUUCCAUCUCUUCUUGCAUGGCUUUCAUCCACUGGUUCUUUUCUGGAUAGGACAACACCUCCAUAAGAAUUUCUGGCUCCCCCUCAUCAUUGAUGAGGACAUACUCUGUGGAAGGGUACCUGCAUGACUCUACCCUUGGCCUCUAUGAUCUCCUCAGAGGUUGAGGUUGUUCUUCUUCCUGAGUGGGGUGCUCCAUUUCAUCCACUGGUUCUUUUCUAGACGGGACAACACCUUCUUAAGACAUUCUGGCUCCCCCUCAUCACUGAUGAGGACAUACUCUGUGGAACGGUACUUGUAAGACUCUACCCUUGGCCUCUCCGAUCUCCUCAGAGGUUGAGGUUGUUCUUCUUCUUGAGUGGGGNNNNNNNNNNNNNNNNNNNNNNNNNNNNNNNNNNNNNNNNNNNNCUCUACCCUUGGCCUCUCCGAUCUCCUCAGAGGUUGAGGUUGUUCUUCUUCCUGAGUGGGGUGCUCCACUUCCUCGACACCUUCAUUAAGUUGCUCCCCCUGCUGAAUAACCUCACCAGGUUGCUCCCCCUGCUUGGCAACCUCGUCGGUCGUACUUUCUGCACUUGUGGGAUUGUUAGAAGUAGAAGGAAUAGUAACAAGGUUAAGAAUUAUACCGUUCUUCGCCUUUUCUAACAUAUCGGCAACAAUUCCAACUUCACUUUCUCGGAAGACUACAUCUCUACUUCUGAUGGCCUUAUUCUUUACAGGAUCCCACAAUCUGUACCCGAACUCUUCAUCUCCAUAUCCGAUAAAUAUGCAGGGAACAAAUUUAUCAUCCAGUUCUGUUCUCUGCUCUUUUGGUACAUGUGCAAAAGAUUUACAACUGAACACUUUCAGAUGCGAGUAGGACACCUACUUGUUGGUCCAAACUUUCUCUGGGAUGCAAACGCCAACGGAACUGAUGGACUCCUAUUGAUCAGGUAACAUGAUGUCUGAACUGCGUCACCCCAGAAUGACUUAGGCAGUUUAGCCAUUCUGAGCAUGCUUCUUACCUUCUCCACAAUGGUGCGGUUCAUCCUUUCGGCUACACCAUUGUGCUGUGGGGUUCCAGGAACUGUCUUUUCAUGUCUGAUCCCAUGGAUUGAACAGUACUCUUCAAAUUCCCUUAAAGUGUAGUCACCUCCAUUGUCACUUCAGAGACGCUUUAGCUUUUGACCUGUCUCCCUUUCUACUAGAACAUGAAAUUUCUGAAAAACUUGAAACACCUGAUCUUUGGUUUUCAAAAUAUAAACCCACAAUUUUCGUGAAGCAUUAUCAAUAAAAGUAACAAAAUAUUUGUUACCGCCCAUUGAUUCAAUUUCCAUUGGGCCACAAACAUCAGAAUAAAAGUAACAAAAUAUUUGUUACCGCCCAUUGAUUCAAUUUUCAUUAGGCCACAAACAUCAGAAUAUACUAAAUCAAGUAUAUUCAAUUUUCUUUCAGACGAUGUCUGAAAUGAGACUCCAUGCUGCUUACCAAAAAAACAGUACUCACAUGGUUUUAUUGUUAUACCUUUGGCAUAUGAAAUAAGUGAUUUCUUGGCAAGAAUCUGCAAUCCCUUCUCGCUCAUAUGAACCAUUCUUUUAUGCCACACAUUUGUAGAAAUCUCAUCUUGUGCCGCAUUCAAUUCACCUUGGCAUAUUUAUGCAUUUGUCCUGUACAAUGUGCCACGAGCAAUUCCCUUUGCAAUUACCAAUGAUCCCUUGGUGAGUCUCUACUUUUGAUUUGCAAAAUAGUUCUCGUAUCCAUCUCGGUCCAAAGCAAUUCCCGAGAUCAAGUUCAUCCGCAAAUCAAGUACAUGCUGCACAUCCUUUAGAACCAAUAUGUAUCCGACAUUUGUCUUGAUACAAAUGUCACCAAUACCCGCAAUCUUUGAGUAACUUGUGUUACCGAUUCUCUCUAUGCCGAAAUCACCUGCUACAUUUCUGCAAAAAAGAUUUCUUACCGGUGUUGCAUGGCAAGAUGUUGAUGUGUCAACCACCCAUUCCGACUCUGGACCUGAUCGAAUCACCUGCUACAUAUGUGCAAAAAAGAUCUCUUACCGGUGUGGCAUUGUAAGAUGUUGUUGUGUCAACCACCCAUUCCGACUCUGGACCUGACAGGUGCAUGCAUUCUUCUUCCUCAUUUNNNNNNNNNNNNNNNNNNNNNNNNNNNNNNNNNNNNNNNNNNNNNNNNNNNNNNNNNNNNNNNNNNNNNNNNNNNGACAACAUUGUCAUUGUUUUGCACCAUGGCAGCUGUGUUGUCGUCAUUCUUCUGGCCACUAGUUUCACCUUUGCCCUUCCUUGGAUUUGGGCAAUCUCUUAUGAAGUGACCUCGUUGAUCACAGUUGUAGCAAUUUCUGGCUUUUGAUUUGGAUCGAUUCUUUGACUUUCCACGAGCUCCGGAUUUACCAUAGUUGCUCGAACUCCUUUUGAUAACUCCUGCCUCUACCUUCUGUGAUAAGAGAUUGUCCUUAAUUUUGAGGCUUCUUUCUCAUAUUCUCAUUGAGUAAAAGAGCCGAUGUGACAUCUUUCAACUCAAUAUUAGUCUUACCGUGCAGGAUGAUUGUUGCCAAAUUAUCGUACGAAGAUGGCAACGAGUUCAAUAGCAAGAUGGCUUUAUCUUCCUCAGAGGUUGGCAAGCUGUGUGAUUAGUCCGUUAAACACAUUUAAAUGUGACAAAAAAUUCAUACCUUCACCCGUGUGUAGGGCGUAUAACUGCUUCUUCAGGUACAAUUUAUUUGUCAGCGUUUUGGACAUGUAUAGGCUUUCCAACCUUGUCCAAAGUCCACGUGCAGUGUUUUCAUCAAUGAUGUUAUUUACCACAUCAUCCGAUAAGUGCAACCUGAUUGCACUAGCCGCUCUUUCAUUCAAGUCAGCCUAAUCCUCAGCUUUCAUGGUAUCAGGCUUUUUGGCAUCAACAUCUAGUACCUUGUGUAAUUCUUAUUGGAUGAGCUGAUCCCUCAUCCUUCUUUGCCAUGUCGAGAAACCGUUAUCUCCGUUGAAUUUUGCUACGUCAUACUUUACUCCGGACAUUUUUACUUUCACCGAGUAUAGUACUACCGAUAGUGAAUAGUAUUUCAGGGAACGAGUAGAACCUAUCCUCUGAUACCAGUUGUUGGGAAUAAACCCCCUACCAAAAUAAUAUUCACGGUAAUAAAAGCGGAAUAAUAAUGUAGCAUCGAGAUACAGUAAUUAAUAAGAAUAAAAGAGUAAUAAUGACACCAAGAUUUUUACGUGGAAAACCCUUCUGAAUAAGGGAAAAAACCACGGCCCUGAGAAGAGCAACUGAUAUCACUAUCGUAAGGAAUUUUACGCUUUGUAGGUCCGAGUAAAAUACUCCAAAGACCACUAUAACACUCAAAAGAAAAUAAACCUCUUUUGAUAUUUUCACCUCACUACAAUAUCGCUAGCUCUCUAUUUUACUCACAGACUAUUUUCUUAUAUACUGUCUGUGAAACCUUACUCUCAGAUAUAUUUUUCUUUGAGUUUUGUUGGUUGUAAAAAUGAGAGCCGAAGCUCUCAUUUGAUAGGUAGAAUACAUCCUACUUUUCUUGAUAUUUUAUCUCUGCAAUAUACUUAAUUUGACAAAAACAAAAAACAACUUGGACUGUAUUAGCAACCACUUUUAACAAACAAAAUGAGGAAUGAUGAUUUUUCUUCCUUAAUUUAAGGGGGACCCCAUCAAUAUGGUGGAAGUGGCGUAGACUCUCUUAGAAUUGGGUUCCUCAGAGCCAUACGAUUAUCAGAACUCAACGUUUUGUACAAGAAAUAUAUACCAUCAACAGGACCAAGGAUCUCAGUCAAUGGAGCAGGUAUCUGUAAAUAACUAGGCUUUUCAUUGCAAGGAAAUCACACCGGGCAAUAUUUUCUCGGGCAGAAGAAGAGAGGUGCUUGAUUGUGAAGGAAUGUCGUGAAAGUGUAUAAAAGACGGGUUGGGUUUUUUUCCAAGUGAUUAAGGUGUUCUCUAACAAAAGAAGAAGAAGUUGUAAUAAGCGAGUACCAAUUCUUACGCACACAUUUGAAUCGUGCAAGAGAUUCCACAGGUAGCCUCACUAGAAUCUUUGUUACCAAAGCAUCUGACAGAGAGCGGCAAUUCUCCAUUCUGCUUGUUUAAUCAAAUUUUAAUGCAAUAAUAAGCUGCAAGAUGAAACGAUAAAUUUAAUUAGGGUGCAGAAUAUAAUAUCUCCAAAAAUGAAGCUAUAUAUCUAUUAAAAAAUUAACUACAAAAUGUUGAUUAUUUAUCCUAACAAACUGCAUGAGGACUCACAAAAUUAACUAGAACAUAGAUACGAUACAAGAAGAUGAAGAGUAUAUGUAGAGAAAAGAGAAGGGUCUGGAUGUCAGUUAAUAACAAGUGAAUAUAAUGUAAGUAUAUAACUGUCUUUGCUGUAAGUGCAAAGUGCAGAUUUGAUUACCCACGAACAGCUUCAAAAGUGUGAGAUUCUGCUCUAUUACCCAACAGCAGCCAUUUUAUAAUAGGGGAACGUACGUAAGAGUAGCAUUCACACAUCUUUGAAUCAUUCAUGUCACAUGGGAAAAGUCCUUAAAUGAUGCACAGUUGGACAUGCCGACAUUAUCGAAUUGUUUGCAACUGCAAAAGCCCAAUAGAUAUUUCUGUAACGCACGGUGAUUAUUUCUACUACUCUAUAUAUAAAUAAGGUCACGAUCCUAAUUUGUCGUGACAUCACUUAAUCUCUAAUAUUAGGUAAGUCUAAUAACAUGCGGAAUCAUUGAAUGAAAACUUAAAAUCUAAACACUUCAGCAACUACAUAAAUAAAAUCUGUAACUCAAUGAGUACAACUUCUAAAACCUGGUGAAAUGUAAUAUAUGAUGUGUAUUGUUUUAGGUAGACAUGCUGUUGCGCAAUAUCGUGAGUUAACUAGCACACAAUCACACACAAAACAAAUAGAGAAGAAAAAUCAACAGAAGGAUUUAACGAGGUUCAACCAAGCCUAAUCUUCGGGGCAAAAGCAGAGAGAGUUUUCCACUAUGAAUGAGAAGAAAAUCACAAUACAAUCUAUAGAAUCCCCAACUACAACCCCUAUAUAUAUAGAUCCCAAAAGGUCCCAAACAUAUAUGAGAAAGGUUUUUCAAUUUGUCAAGGACUAUAGGUUUUCCUUUUCUAAAUCUAUUAGGACAAUGGGUUUUCAUAAACCUAUAGGGACUAUGGGGGUUCCCAAUUUGACAAGGGCUAUAGGUUUUCCUUUUCCAAAUCUAUGAGGACAAUGUAUUUUCCUAAACCUAUGGGGACUAUGAGUUUCCUAAAAAUACAAGAAAAUAAGUCAAUCCACAAAUAACAAAUCUUCCCCUUGACUUGAAUUCUCUUCAUCAACAGGAACAUCUCUCUACCUUGCCCUCAGCCCUCGCAAGGGCUCUAUCCAUUUUCGCUUACAUCAACCAAGUCUAGGAAACACCUAACCUUGUUAAGAGACUCAAUCUCUUUAGCCAUAGCACUAAUCCGUUGAUUUGGUUCUAUACUCGGAAAUAACUUCUAGAUAGCUAUAACACUCAAACACAUCAACGGUAUCUGCAACUGCCAAAGCAAAUCCCACUGGAUGUGUAUAUCCAAGAAGAUUCCCAUCAACUACGUUUGUAAACCUUUGCGGUCGGUUGAUCACUCUCUUCUCUCAACUUGUUGCAAUGUUAUAUGGUUGUUGUUGCGCAGGUGCAUCAACAUUAACGUCUUGAUCAAUAUUUUGCACCUCCUCCACUUCCUCUAUUUUAGAACUACUGGGCUGAGCUAGUGAAGAUUCAAUUUCUAGCUUUAUGCAGUCACUGACACCAUAAUCUGUUUCUGCUAUUGCCUUCUCCCUCUGACAGUCCAGUGAGGCAGAUUCAUUGAAUGUUACAUCCCUACUGAUAAUUAGCCCUAGAUUCUUUUGAUCUGGGCACCACGACAUAUAACCUUUCUCUCCAGUUGCAUACCCUGAAAUAUGCACUUCUUUGCCCUCGGCUCAAGUUUUCCAUCCCUCACAUGAGCAUAAGCAGGACAACCAAAUAUCCUUAAAUUUGAAUAAUCAGCAGACGAACCGAACCAUACCUCAAAAGGAGUUUUGAACUCAAUAGCUGUGGAUGGAGAUCUAUUAACCAAAUAACAAGAUGUAUUGAUUGCUUCAGCCCAGAAAUCUUUGCUAACACAUGAGUGUAAAAGCAUGCUUCGUGCCCUAUCACAAAGCGUUCUAUUCAUACAUUCUGCAAUACCAUUUUUUUGGUAUUACGACACAAGUUUGGUGUCUCACUAUGCCCUCCCUGCUUCAGAAAUUAUCGAACUCAGAAUUUCAAAAUUCCAACCCAUUGUCAGUUCGAAGAUGCUUCUCUUUUCUUUCCGUCUGCCUCUCAACCAUCGUCUUCCAUUUAACAAAUUUCGAAAAUGCCUCAUCUUUGUUUUCAGAAAAUACACCCACACCAUCCUUGAGUAAUCAUCAAUCAAAGUCAUAAAAUACCUGGCACCACUCUUGGAGGGAACUUUAUUUGGACCCCACAAGUCAGAGUGUAUAUAAUCUAACUUGUCUCUGGUCUUGUGCUCGACCUUCUUGAUGAACUUUAUCCUUGUAUGUUUACCAAAAUCACAAUGCUCACAAAAAUUCAAAGUUUGAUUUUUGUACCCAUUCAGAAAAUUCUGCUUACUCAGCAAAGACAAUCCAUUAUCACUCAUAUGGCCAAGUCGCAAGUGCCACAAUUGAGACUAAUUCAGGUCACUUUUCCCAGAAGCUACAGCAACUUCACGUUUAACUACACUGGCCUGAAGAUAAUACUAUUUAGAAUGUUAUUUACCCUUCAUGAGUAGCAUGGAGCCUUUACACACUUUAAGUAUUUUAUUCUCGUAGUGAAAUUUAUACCCCUGAUCAUCCAAAGUCGAAAGAGAACUCAAAUUUCUCUUUAUCCGAGGAACAUGCCAACAUUCAAUGUUUCUGAUGACGUCCAAAUCCACUGCUAAAAGCAAUUGACACGGUCGCAUGCAAUAUAAUUUACCCAACUAUGAGUUGGGGUCGAAUGUCACAGAGAACAAUGUGUAGGCGAUUAGGAAUGUAAGAAAAUUAUCGCUAGUCGCGCAAUGCCAAACACUAAGAAUUUUGGUUGAAAAUUUGUUUUUAUAUCUAAAUGCAAAAAUGUAAACUAACCAAGAAAGCAAGUAAAAUGAUCAAUGGCUACAAGUAUGAAUGCAUCGGGAAUUACACUCAAGUAACAAUCUAAUGUAUAUUACGAUUUUACAAAUAUGAGCAAGUUUAUGUUAAUUAGCCACGUAUAAUGAUUUUUAAUUAACUUCUUCCGAAGACUAACAAGACUUCCUAAUUGAAAUAUCCAUAAUCACAAUUAGAAUAUUAAGCAUACCCGGAAGGCUACAAGUAGUUCAAUCCUAUCCCUAGAUAGAAUCUAUAAAAUGGGUUAACGCCUCAAGUUCUUGUUAAUUA
rnacentral:lncRNA from 1 species